UUCUACUACUGUGCACCCCCCUGACUUCAGGCAUUGGUUGUCCCUGGCUGUCUACUUCCGUGUUUUCUGUGCUUCACGGCAGCACGGAUAGUUUUAUACCGAACCACAGAUCGACACAACUUAUAAGUGACGGUGACUUUUGCAAAGGUCUGAGCUGUAGUCCAGCUCCAAGUGUGAUUCUGCUGCUCUGCCCAGCUCUUUUGCAUUACUUCUGUUGCUGGCUGCUUUGGUUGUGGGCAUGUGCCUGGCCCGGUCCUCGAUGUGAUUCCCGAAAGACUGAUUCUGGAGUUAAGCGGGACCCGAUUCAGCUGCCACUGAAAGGGCCAUACUAAAAUUGCCCAAGGAACAUUUGUUUUUUUGUUGUUUAUGUAUUGUUCGUUAUAUAUUUUAACAUUCUGUGUCUAGGAGCUGAUUGUCAGAGCUGUGGUGGUG